GUAGAUUGAAGGUCUACGUAUAUUUGAGGUCUAUGUAUAUUUGACAUCUAUGCAUAUUUGAGGUCUAUGUAUAUUUGACGUCUAUGUAUAUUUGAGGCCUAUGUAUAUUUGAGGUCUACGAAUACUUGAGGUCUAUACAUAUUUGAGGUCUAUGCAUAUUUGAGGUCUAUGUAUAUUUGACGUCUAUGUGUAUUUGAGGUCUAUGCAUAUUUGAGGUCUAUGUGUAUUUGAGGUCUAUGUAUAUUUGAGGUCUACGAAUACUUGAGGUCUAUACAUAUUUGACAUCUAUGCAUAUUUGAGGUCUAUGUAUAUUUG
ensembl:lncRNA